AUUGAACGCUGGCGGCAGGCUUAACACAUGCAAGUCGAACGAGUGGCGGACGGGUGAGUAAUGUAUGGGAAUCUAGCUAAUGGAGGGGGAUAACUACGGGAAACAGUAGCUAAUACCGCAUACCAUAGGAUGAGCCCAAGUGGGAUUAGGUAGUUGGUGAGGUAAAGGCUCACCAAGCCGACGAUCCGUAGCUGGUCUGAGAGGAAGACCAGCCACACUGGGACUGAGACACGGCCCAGACUCCUACGGGAGGCAGCAGUGGGGAAUAUUGGACAAUGGGGGCAACCUGAUGCAGCCAUGCCGCGUGAAUGAAGAAGGCCUUCGGGUUGUAAAGUUCUUUCGGUAGAGAGGCGUUAUCUACAGAAGAAGCACCGGCUAACUCCGUGCCAGCAGCCGCGGUAAUAC
rnacentral:rRNA from 1 species